rnacentral:misc_RNA from 1 species
GAUGAAGAACGUAGCGAAAUGCGAUACGUAAUGUGAAUUGCAGAAUUCAGUGAAUCAUCGAAUCUUUGAACGCACAUUGCGCCCGCUAGUAUUCUGGCGGGCAUGCCUGUCCGAGCGUCAUUUCAACCCAUCAAGCUUAGCGCUUGUGUUGAAGCCCUGCGGCCGCCGCAGCCUCCUAAAAUCAGUGGCGGGCUCGCUAUCACGCUGAGUGCAGUAGUAUUCUUCUCACUCCUGUGGUGUAGCGGGUAACCAGCCGUAAACCCCCCCAUCUAUAAAGGUUGACCUCGGAUCAGGUAGGAAUACCCGCUGAACUUAAGCAUAUCAAUAAGCGGAGGA